UACGGGGGGAGCAAGCGUUGUUCGGAUUUACUGGGCGUAAAGGGUGCGUAGGUGGUUAGGUAAGUCGGAUGUGAAAUCCCGGGGCUCAACCUCGGAACUGCAUUCGAUACUGCCUGACUGGAGUACUGGAGAGGAGAUUGGAAUUUACGGUGUAGCAGUGAAAUGCGUAGAUAUCGUAAGGAAGACCAGUGGCGAAGGCGGAUCUCUGGACAGUUCCUGACGCUGAGGCACGAAGGUCAGGGGAGCAAACGGG
rnacentral:rRNA from 1 species